UGCGGGGAUGAGCAGUGGCUGCUCGCCGGCCUCAUAACCCGGCUGUAGGCGGUUCGAUUCCGCCCCCCGCUA
rnacentral:tRNA from 1 species